GGAGGGGGGGGGGGGUAGUAGUGUCCCUGGAUUCUCAUCCGUUCAUCUCCUUUCCUCACACAUUGACUGACAAGAGACACCGUGGCGGUGGCUUCAGCACCUUAAAAACACUACAUCCUACAGACGAGAGCUUUAAGUUAUUAUUCACGGUGUCAUACGUUCUUUUAAGGUUCUACAUCGUUUAGCAGCGUUCCACAUGUGUGUAAGUGGAACCAUGUCCAGCAGUCUUUCAGGGUGUUUUAGGGAUACCCAUGGAGAAGUGAGAGCAUUGAGACACUCAUGACUUCAAUCUCUUGUCAUCAUGAACCCCAGUGAUUGAUGUGGGCCUGCAGAUCGCUGCGAUCCAGCUGCUUUGAGUAGGAAAAGCACAGCUAGCUUUAUUUGGGCUUUUGGGCUUAGGAAACUUUAACAUGUAUUUAGGUCUGUAAAGAGGCUACUUUUCAAGGAGCCCCACUUUCUCUGUAAUAUUAGUUUAGCACUUUAGUUUCUCUGGAUUGACUCCCCACCAUUUUAUCAUUAACCAGGAUGGAGGUAUUCUUGCUUUGAUUUCAAUGCCCUGUUAGCAAAUCAGGGUUAUGUUUGUGUCAAAUGAUCAGGUUAGUGUUUGAUGUCUAUCUUUUCAGGAAGCUUAUUGUAACACAAUAUGGUUUACAGUAUUUCUGCUAUAAAUGUAAUGGGAUCAAGAAAUUGCAAGUUUGGAUAUAAAUGUAGCAAGCAAUAUCUACAGCAAUAGUCCUACAUAUUGUUUCUGGUAUGACAGAAUAACCUCAUAGGUACUGCAAUAGCCCUUGAGCUAGCGACCAACCAAAACAUCUUGUUCAAGAUGCGCUUUGUUGUCAAGAGGAAGGUUGGCGGGUUUGCUGAUCCCAAGUCAUGGUCAUAAUGCUUGUUGAGUUAUGAUAGGUUUACCUUCCGUUAUAGACCAUUGACCAUGAAAAACAUGUAGCCAAAUUCCUUGCACCUAAGUCUGAAGGAAGGGGAACCAAAGUCUUUCUUUUUUUCUAUAUUUGAGAGUUGUAAUGCGUCUCCACUCUCACUUUCUGUUUAUGUGGAACAGCGGAGACAAAAUCUUUCUGUCCUAUGAUACUUUGAUGAUUUGAGACGCUAGACAAAAUAAUUUGACGUUAUUUCCUUGCUUUGACAUUUUUGCCACCUUUUCCAGAGUUAAGUGGAUUCAUUUGAUGGGGAGGGAGUGUCAGUGCAGGGAGUAAGGUCUACAAAGUGAGUUGUUAGACUUCCAAAUUGAAAGCUCUGAAGUUUCUUUCCAAAUAGUGGCCCGUUGCACUCUCAGCAUUACAUAUGCCGUGCGGUCUUAAAGGUUUAAUUCUUUCAAUUUUUUGGGGGGGGUCACUGUUAUGAUGAAUUAUGCAAUACCAAUCGGUGGUUUUAAAGUUUUAGCCACAAUGGGAAAGGCAAGUAUUACUCUGGUCUUUCAUCAUUGUCUGGGUUUUCACUCUGGUGCCAUUUUAAUGAUUCUACCGUCACUCUAGUUUAGUCUUUUAUCUGAGAGCAGAGGGAUGGGAGCUGGACUUAACACAUCUUUCCAAAUGAAUAUUUUAGCUUUAGUGCAUUGGACAUGGGUUAAAAUCAGUGAUCUAUUAUUACCAAUAGUCACAUUUGGGUUCAUGAUGACAAAGCUGAAGUCUUGGAAUACAAACAGCAUGUAAUAUCAGUGCUAUUGCUGGAGCUUUGGACUAAAAUCCUGAGGUGUUCUGAUGUUGUGCCUUUUAUUUUCCUCAUCGUCGUUGCUGAAGCCACUGCUGCGGCGCCCCUCUGUUUAUUUGUUAUUAGUACCUGACAAAAAAUGCUAUAUAUAUAUAUAUAAUCUAAUAUAAAAAUCUUAAAGUGACCAGCUGUAAUUCUGGAUGCAGUCUUAGAUCCAGGUUGUUCAGGAACCAAUUACCUCAGACCUCACGUGAAACAGUGUUGCUAGCUGGAUAGUCGUCGAUACUACAGAAAAAUGAUGUACACUUUCGUCAUACCAACAGGAAACCUCGUUUGUACUGGUGUAACAUGUAUGAUCCACCCCUUGACAAUGUGAAAACCCUCUUCCUUUCCGAGCUUCUCGCCUCUAGUUUUCAACAGCAAAGAAAUUGUAUUGUAUGGAAAACCAUGUUCAAGUGCUUCCUCUGCUACUUUCCCAACUGAAAUUGUUAGUGUACACUGGUUUGACAGCUCACUCUGUCAUCUGACAGAACUGAAGAAAAAAAUAACAUUAAAUUGGAUGAGAUUUCAUUAUAGUCCUGUCUAGCUCACAAAAAAAGCCCUAACAACACUAAUUACCAUUGUACCCUUAGAUUUGUCAUCAAUCCCUCUUAGACAUCUACUUCAUUUUACUUUACCCAACUCUCUAUGAGCAUCUUUUAGUGUUAUUACGUUACUUAUUUACUGUGCACGGACAGUCACUCAGGCCAUGUGAUCAUAACCUCGUUUUCCAAGAGAUCAGUGUUCAGGGCUUGUGUCAAACAGCAGCAGCGAGCUGUGAGCCCGGGCAAUCGACUUACCCUCCUUAAGUAUUAAGACCUUCCCCAGCAGGGGAGAACUAUUGAUUCUAAAUGCCAAUGACUAAACGCUAAGAACGUCCAAUAUCUUUGUAGCCUCUGGGUUAGUAGAGCUUGCUACUCAAUGCUUUAAAAAGCCACUUCCAUACAGUGCCAGUUUCUAUCGCUCCUUUAAAACCAGGUGGAAUUUGCUGUUGGUAAACAAUGUCAAUGUGGAAUGUUUUUUUGGUUUUUUUUCCCUCAUAAGAGCUCAUCAGUGGCUCUUUGCACAUGGAAGUGUUCAAACAAAUCCGAAAAACUAUUCCACUGCAAAGGACUGAUUCACAAUGUCUUUCUUCCAAGACCCACCAAAACAAGGGUGCAGGAUUCGGCAAACGGGUCAAGGGGGGGUUUCUUGUUUUUGUCAAGGGGUCUUAUUUAAAAGUGAUGUUUCUAUACCAGAAUACGUGAAAUGUAAAUGUUGUAGGUUAUGUUUCACUAUUGUAGCUAAAUUGUAGAACAGAGAUGGCUUGUACUACUGAUUUUAACAAAUAUACUCAAAUCUGUAUAAGAUAAAAUGUAUACGGAGAGUUGAGAUUGUUGCUGUAACCCCUCUUUUGGAUUGAAGAAUAUGUUUAAAAGUUUUAUGUAUAUGAAAUGCCCUGGAAAAAUCCAACAUCCAUUGUAUUGCCGUAAUGACAUAAGGACUUUUUGAACGAUCAGUGUAACAUAGUUCUUUAAUUUGCAGUGGAUCAUUGUUCCUUUUUACUGUGGUAAUUUUAGAACUCAUUAUCCAAGUAGAUUUGCCUAGUUGUUGGGGUGUGGCUGUUUCUACUCUGCACUUGGUGCCAGAAUAAACCAGUAUGAAUGUAGUAUUUGCCCAGUGUGAAACAACUACACCCUGACUGUUAGAGAAAAAAUACUAGAAUGGAUUAUUUCAAUUGUAUCUUUUUGUAUAUGAAAGUAAACAAUAAAAUACUGUUAAAGCAUUUGAUUGCAGCAUGUUCCUACUUUAUUGUGUAUGUGUUGUCCAUUUAGAAUGACCGUUCAUCAGAAUUAU
rnacentral:lncRNA from 1 species